GACGAACGCUGGCGGCGUGCCUAACACAUGCAAGUUGAGCGACGAACCAGGGCUUGCCCUGGGGCAAAGCAGCGAACGGGUGAGUAACACGUGGGUAACCUACCCCGAUAACCGGGACAACCCGAGGAAACUCGGGCUAAUACCGGAUGUGCUCACUGGACUUCGGUUCAGUGCGUAAAGGAAGCUUCGGCCUCCGUAUCGGGAGGGGCCCGCGGCCCAUUAGUUUGUUGGUGAGGUAACGGCUCACCAAGACCGCGAUGGGUAGCUGGUCUGAGAGGACGAUCGGCCACACUGGGACUGAGACACGGCCCAGACUCCUACGGGAGGCAGCAGUGGGGAAUCUUGCGCAAUGCGCGAAAGCGUGACGCAGCAACGCCGCGUGGGGGAAGAAGGCCUUCGGGUUGUAAACCCCUUUCAGGAGGGACGAAGGUUCGGCGGUGAAUAGCCGUCCGGACUGACGGUACCUCCACAAGAAGCCCCGGCUAACUACGUG
rnacentral:rRNA from 1 species